UGCAGUGUAGUUUAUUAAAAAUUCUUAUUUUACACGUAAGAGAACUUCGAAGAAAGUAUUGCUA
rnacentral:tRNA from 1 species